UUCGCGGAAGCCGAAAAGCGCAAAGAGUAGGCG
rnacentral:ncRNA from 1 species